rnacentral:rRNA from 1 species
ACGGGUGAGUAAUGCAUCGGGAUCUACCUCAACGUGGGGGAUAACGUAGGGAAACUUACGCUAAUACCGCAUACGUCCUACGGGAGAAAGCAGGGGACCUUCGGGCCUUGCGCGGUGAGACGAACCGAUGUUCGAUUAGCUAGUUGGUAGGGUAAUGGCCUACCAAGGCGACGAUCGAUAGCUGGUCUGAGAGGAUGAUCAGCCACACUGGAACUGAGACACGGUCCAGACUCCUACGGGAGGCAGCAGUGGGGAAUAUUGGACAAUGGGCGCAAGCCUGAUCCAGCAAUGCCGCGUGUGUGAAGAAGGCCUUCGGGUUGUAAAGCACUUUUAUCAGGAACGAAAUACCACGGGUUAAUACCCUAUGGGGCUGACGGUACCUGAGGAAUAAGCACCGGCUAACUUCGUGCCAGCAGCCGCGGUAAUACGAAGGGUGCAAGCGUUAAUCGGAAUUACUGGGCGUAAAGGGUGCGUAGGCGGUUCGUUAAGUCUGUCGUGAAAUCCCCGGGCUCAACCUGGGAAUGGCGAUGGAUACUGGCGAGCUAGAGUGUGUCAGAGGAUGGUGGAAUUCCCGGUGUA